rnacentral:rRNA from 1 species
UACGUAGGAUGCAAGCGUUGUCCGGAUUUACUGGGCGUAAAGCGCGCGCAGGCGGCAUGGCAAGUAAGGUGUGAAAUCUCCUGGCUCAACCGGGAGGGUGCACUUUAGACUGCCAAGCUUGAGGUCGGUAGAGGGGGGUAGAAUUGCUGGUGUAGCGGUGAAAUGCGUAGAGAUCAGCAGGAAUACCCGUGGCGAAGGCGGCCCCCUGGGCCGUACCUGACGCUGAGGCGCGAAGGCUAGGGGAGCGAACGGG